GAGUUUGAUCAUGGCUCAGAACGAACGCUGGCGGCGCGCCUAACACAUGCAAGUCGAGCGAUUAAACCCUUCGGGGAUAUAAAGCGGCGGACGGGUGGGUAAGGCAUAGGUAAUCUGCUCCUUAGUGGGGGACAACAGGCCGAAAGGCUUGCUAAUACCGCAUAAGUUGCCUGGGUGAAUACCAGUCAAUAAAGGCUUCGGUCGCUUUGGAAUGAGCCUAUGUAGGAUUAGGUAGUUGGUGAGGUAAAAGCUCACCAAGCCGACGAUCCUUAGCUGGUCUGAGAGGAUGAUCAGCCACACUGGAACUGAGACACGGUCCAGACUCCUACGGGAGGCAGCAGUGAGGAAUUUUGCGCAAUGGGGCGAAAGCCUGACGCAGCGACGCCGCGUGGAGGAUGAAGUCCUU
rnacentral:rRNA from 1 species